UACGGAGGGUGCGAGCGUUAAUCGGAAUUACUGGGCGUAAAGGGUGCGUAGGUGGUUUAUUAAGUUAUCUGUAAAAUCCCCGGGCUUAACCUGGGAAGGCCAGAUAAGACUGAUAGACUCGAGUAUGGGAGAGGGUAGUGGAAUUUCCGGUGUAGCGGUGAAAUGCGUAGAGAUCGGAAGGAACACCAGUGGCGAAGGCGGCUACCUGGCCUAAUACUGACACUGAGGCACGAAAGCGUGGGGAGCAAACAGG
rnacentral:rRNA from 1 species